CGAGAAUGACAAUUCGAGCAGGUGCGAAAGCAGGUCAUAGUGAUCCGGUGGUUCUGAAUGGAAGGGCCAUCGCUCAACGGAUAAAAGGUACUCCGGGGAUAACAGGCUGAUACCGCCCAAGAGUUCAUAUCGACGGCGGUGUUUGGCACCUCGAUGUCGGCUCAUCACAUCCUGGGGCUGAAGUCGGUCCCAAGGGUAUGGCUGUUCGCCAUUUAAAGUGGUACGCGAGCUGGGUUUAGAACGUCG
rnacentral:rRNA from 1 species